rnacentral:rRNA from 1 species
UACGAAGGUCCCGAGCGUUGUUCGGAAUCACUGGGCGUAAAGGGAGCGUAGGCGGCGUGGUAAGUCAGAUGUGAAAUCCCGGGGCUCAACCCCGGAACUGCAUCCGAUACUGCCGUGCUUGAGGGUUGGAGAGGUAGCUGGAAUUAUCGGUGUAGCAGUGAAAUGCGUGGAUAUCGAUAGGAACACUCGUGGCGAAGGCGAGCUACUGGACAAUAUCUGACGCUGAGGCUCGAAGGCCAGGGGAGCAAAAGGG